rnacentral:rRNA from 1 species
GACGAACGCUGGCGGCGUGCUUAACACAUGCAAGUCGAACGCUGAAGCCCUUUCGGGGGUGGAUGAGUGGCGAACGGGUGAGUAACACGUGGGUAAUCUGCCCUGCACUCUGGGAUAAGCCUUGGAAACGGGGUCUAAUACCGGAUAGGACACAUCGCCGCAUGGUGUGUGUGUGGAAAGUUCCGGCGGUGCAGGUUGAGCCCGCGGCCUAUCAGCUUGUUGGUGGGGUGAUGGCCUACCAAGGCGACGACGGGUAGCCGGCCUGAGAGGGUGAGAGGCCACAGUGGGACUAAGAGACGGCCCAGACUCCGACGGGAGGCAGCAGUGGGGAAUCUUGCGCAAUGGGCGAAAGGCUGACGCAGCAUCGCCGCGUGGGGGAUGCCGGCCUUCGGGUUGUAAACCUCUUUCGACCGGGGCGAAGGGUGACUGACGGUACCGGUAGAAGAAGCACCGGCUAAGUACGUGCCAGCAGCCGCAGUAA